rnacentral:rRNA from 1 species
CCUACGGGAGGCAGCAGUGGGGAAUCUUGCGCAAUGGGCGAAAGCCUGACGCAGCGACGCCGCGUGGGUGAUGAAGGCCUUCGGGUUGUAAAGCCCUGUGGGGCGGGACGAAUAAGUCGUGGCUAACAUCCACGAUGAUGACGGUACCGCCUUAGCAAGCACCGGCUAACUCUGUGCCAGCAGCCGCGGUAAGACAGAGGGUGCAAACGUUGUUCGGAAUUACUGGGCGUAAAGCGUGUGUAGGCGGCCAAGCAAGUCAGGUGUGAAAGCCCGGG